rnacentral:rRNA from 1 species
UCCCAAACUGGGAUUAGAUACCCCACUAUGCCUAGCCCUAAACUCCAAUAACUCUACCAACAAAAUUACUCGCCAGAACACUACAAGCAAUAGCUUGAAACUCAAAGGACCUGGCGGUGCUUUACAUCCGUCUAGAGGAGCCUGUUCUGUAAUCGA